AGAAGAUGAGAGUGUGAAAUUGAGUGCUUGGGCGUGUGAGACUGCAGCAGUGCAAAUGGUGUCCCAAUGCUUGGCAAUAAGAUGAACACUUGGAGUGCAAUGGGACAAACAAGAGUGGGUGGUGGUCAGAAUGCUUGUAGGUGUGGGAUUGGGUCGUGAAAGUGGAGAGUGUGAGUGAGAGAAUGAGCAAAAGUUGAGUGAAAGAGUGAAUGUGUGCGAGGUGGGUAUCGGUGAUGGUGUGAGGGCAAAAAUGGGUGGUGACCGUGAGAGUGUGAGAGUGAAGGUUGGUCGUGGGAAAAGUGUGAAUGGGCGAGUAGUGGUGGCCGGAGUAGAAAGAGAGUGAGGAGGUGAGGGUUUGAUGGUUUGGGCGAAAGGGAAAAAGUGAGAUGGGUUGAACAGGAGGGUUGUGGUGAAGUGGGUUAGAGUGAGAGAGUGAUAGACAUGGUGGUUGGAGUGGCCGUGAAUGGGGUUUAGGGUUUGGAGAAGGAGAAGGUGUGGUGGUCAGUGUUGGUCAGUGGUGGUCGUGAGUUCAAAGUGGUGGUUUGGGUUUGGGAGAAUGGAGGAGCGUGAGUGAGUGAGGGAGAAUGUGGUGGUUGGGAGUGAAAAAGAGACAGAGAGUGUGAGCGAGAAGGGCGCAGGGGUGGCGUGAGUUGUAGGGUAGGAAAAACUUUAAAUGGGUCAGAUACUGUGCACUCAAGCCCAAGACAAAUUUCAUUUUUCUGCAGAACUUACGCCCGGAUGCCCUCUAGGGGGCGCUUGGGCACGACUUUUAACUGGGAAGCAGCAGAACAGGGGCGUUGGGCGCCCUUUUGGAGGCGCUUG
rnacentral:lncRNA from 1 species